UGCCAGCAGCCGCGGUAAUACAGAGGGUGCAAGCGUUAAUCGGAAUUACUGGGCGUAAAGCGCGCGUAGGUGGUUUAUUAAGUCGGAUGUGAAAGCCCUGGGCUCAACCUGGGAACUGCGUUCGAAACUGGUAAGCUAGAGUAUGGUAGAGGGAAGUGGAAUUUCCGGUGUAGCGGUGAAAUGCGUAGAUAUCGGAAGGAACACCAGUGGCGAAGGCGGCUUCCUGGACCAAUACUGACACUGAGGUGCGAAAGCGUGGGGAGCAAACAGGAUUAGAUA
rnacentral:rRNA from 1 species